rnacentral:rRNA from 1 species
GACGAACGCUGGCGGCGUGCCUAAUACAUGCAAGUAGAACGCUGAAGGAGGAGCUUGCUCUUCUGGAUGAGUUGCGAACGGGUGAGUAACGCGUAGGUAACCUGCCUGGUAGCGGGGGAUAACUAUUGGAAACGAUAGCUAAUACCGCAUAAGAGUAGAUGUUGCAUGACAUUUACUUAAAAGGUGCAAUUGCAUCACUACCAGAUGGACCUGCGUUGUAUUAGCUAGUUGGUGGGGUAACGGCUUACCAAGGCGACGAUACAUAGCCGACCUGAGAGGGUGAUCGGCCACACUGGGACUGAGACACGGCCCAGACUCCUACGGGAGGCAGCAGUAGGGAAGCUUCGGCAAUGGACGGAAGUCUGACCGAGCAACGCCGCGUGAGUGAAGAAGGUUUUCGGAUCGUAAAGCUCUGUUGUAAGAGAAGAACGAGUGUGAGAGUGGAAAGUUCACACUGUGACGGUAUCUUACCAGAAAGGGACGGCUAACUACGUG